rnacentral:rRNA from 1 species
CCCUUAGAUGUUCUGGGCCGCACGCGCGCUACACUGAUGCAUUCAACGAGUCUAAAACCUGGUCUGAUAGGGCUGGGUAAUCUUUUGAAAGUGCAUCGUGAUUGGGAUAGAUGAUUGCAAUUCUUCAUCUUCAACGAGGAAUGCCUAGUAAACGCAAGUCAUCAGCUUGCAUUGAUUACGUCCCUGCCCUUUGUACACACCGCCCGUCGCUCCUACCGAUUGAAUGAUCCGAUGAAUAUCAUGGAUUGAGGAUGCAAGUAGGUUAGCCUAUCUUCAUCUUCGAGAAGUGAAGUAAAUCUUAUCAUUUAGAGGAAGGAGAAGUCGUAACA